GACAGAGGGUGCAAACGUUGUUCGGAAUUACUGGGCGUAAAGCGAGUGUAGGCGGUUUGGUAAGUCGGAUGUGAAAGCCCCGGGCUCAACCCGGGAAGUGCACUCGAUACUGCCAAGCUAGAGUAUCGGAGAGGUUGGUGGAAUUCUCGGUGUAGAGGUGAAAUUCAUAGAUAUCGAGAGGAACACCGGUGGCGAAGGCGGCCAACUGGACGAAUACUGACGCUGAGACUCGAAAGCGUGGGGAGCAAACAGG
rnacentral:rRNA from 1 species